GCCGGUAUAGUUUAAGGGUAGAAACCUGCCACUCAUAACGGCAGUAAGAUGGUUCGAGUCCCUCUGCUGGCU
rnacentral:tRNA from 1 species